rnacentral:rRNA from 1 species
UACGGAGGAUGCGAGCGUUAUCCGGAUUUAUUGGGUUUAAAGGGUGCGUAGGCGGGUUGUUAAGUCAGCGGUAAAAUUGCGGUGCUCAACGCCGUAGAGCCGUUGAAACUGGCGGCCUUGAGUGGGCGAGAAGUAUGCGGAAUGCGUGGUGUAGCGGUGAAAUGCAUAGAUAUCACGCAGAACCCCGAUUGCGAAGGCAGCAUACCGGCGCCCUACUGACGCUGAGGCACGAAAGUGCGG